UACGUAGGGACCGAGCGUUGUCCGGAUUCAUUGGGCGUAAAGAGCUCGUAGGCGGUUUGUCGCGUCGACUGUGAAAACCCGAGGCUUAACCUCGGGCCUGCAGUCGAUACGGGCAGACUAGAGUUCGGUAGGGGAGACGUGGAAUUCCUGGUGUAGCGGUGAAAUGCGCAGAUAUCAGGAGGAACACCGGUGGCGAAGGCGGGUCACUGGUCCGGUACUGACGCUGAGGUGCGAAAGCGUGGGGAGCAAACAGG
rnacentral:rRNA from 1 species